CACUCACUGGCAGACGCACACACUCAUUGACAGACACACACUCUCAUAUACAUUGACAAACAAUGACAUACACACACUCACUGAUUUGACACAUUGAUAGACAGACACACACUUUUACUCGGACACACACUGACAGACUCACACUCACUGACAGACGCACACUCUCACUGACAGACGCACGCACUCACUGAUCGUCACACACACACAUUCAUU